CCCUAGUACGGCGAGUGAAGCGGGAACAGCUCAAAUUUGAAAUCUGGCCCUCGGGUCCGAGUUGUAAUUUGUAGAGGAUGCUUUUGGUGCGGUGCCUUCCGAGUUCCCUGGAACGGGACGCCUUAGAGGGUGAGAGCCCCGUACGGUUGGACGCCUAGCCUCUGUAAAGCUCCUUCGACGAGUCGAGUAGUUUGGGAAUGCUGCUCUAAAUGGGAGGUAUAUUUCUUCUAAAGCUAAAUACUGGCCAGAGACCGAUAGCGCACAAGUAGAGUGAUCGAAAGAUGAAAAGCACUUUGAAAAGAGGGUUAAAUAGCACGUGAAAUUGUUGAAAGGGAAGCGUUUAUCACCAGACUUUUUCUAGGGGGAUCAUCCGGUGUUCUCACCGGUGCACUUCCCCUAGUUGAGGCCAGCAUCGGUUUUCGGAGGGGGAUAAAAGUUUCGGGAAUGUGACUCCCCCGGGAGUGUUAUAGCCCGUUACAUAAUACCCUUCUGGGGACCGAGGUUCGCGCAUCUGCAAGGAUGCUGGCAUAAUGGUGAUCAACGACCCGUCUUGAAACACGGACCAAGGAGUCGAACAUUUAUGCGAGUGUUUGGGUGUCAAACCCUCACGCGUAAUGAAAGUGAACGGAGGUGAGAGCCCUUACGGGUGCAUCAUCGACCGAUCCUGAUGUCUUCGGAUGGAUUUGAGUAAGAGCAUAACUGUUCGGACCCGAAAGAUGGUGAACUAUGCGUGGAUAGGGUGAAGCCAGGAGAAAUCCUGUUGGAGGCUCGCAGCGGUUCUGACGUGCAAAUCGAUCGUCAAAUCUGCGCAUGGGGGCGAAAGACUAAU
rnacentral:rRNA from 1 species